rnacentral:rRNA from 1 species
UGAGGAAUUUUGCGCAAUGGGGGAAACCCUGACGCAGCAACGCCGCGUGGGCGAUGAAGGCCUUCGGGUCGUAAAGCCCUGUCGGGCGGGAAGAACGCUCUUGGUCGAAGGACUGGGGGGUGACGGUACCGCCAGAGGAAGCACCGGCUACCUCCGUGCCAGCAGCCGCGGUAAUACGGAGGGUGCAAGCGUUAUUCGGAAUUACUGGGCGUAAAGGGCGUGCAGGCGGGAGUGCAAGUCGGAUGUGAAAUCCCGGGGCUUAACCCCGGAAGGGCAUUGGAUACUGC